GUGCUCAUUUCGGCAGCACAUAUACUAAAGUUUGGAACAAUACAGAGAUUAGCAUGGCCCCUGCACAAGGAUGACACACAAUUUGUGAAGCCUUCCAUAUUUUU